GUAGUUACAUAGAGGAGUAGAGAGAUGAGUGCUGUGCCGAAGCAUUCUCAUUCGGAUAGCAGCAAUAACAAAGAGGAAAGGCCGCGGUUCUUUGGUACGAAAACGAAGAACUUGUGCUGGGAAAAAGCUGAUAUCGUCCCCGGACGGCAUCCGGAACGCUGGCGCAAAGACGCCGCCGGUAACACCGUCUGCAGGCGCUUCUGCAAUUGCUAUGGAUGUCUCUGUUUUGAGUUUGACCACAUCAUACCCUACUCUAAAGGUGGAGAAUCUACGGCUGAGAACUGUCAAAUUCUUCAAAGCAGGGUUAACCGAUUUAAAUCAGAUAAGGACCAGGUGGAGAAAACAGAUAUGCAGGGUUUCUCUUGUGAUUUAAAGUUUACCGAGGUUUUGAGAUAUGCAGGAUUCAUAAGCCAAUUGGUUCUGCAUGUGGAUCUUUCAGGUCGAAAUUCAAUCCAGUUGGAGUAGUACAAUUGUGUUAUCUUUUUUCAUUCUUUUGGACUGUCCGGAAUAGAGCUCUGACUAUUAUUUGAUCUUAAUAGUCCUGAAGUUCUAACCUAGUUACUUCUAUUGGGUGGGAUCUGUUGAAUGGUGAGUUACAAUUCUGUCUGCAAACAUCUACAUCCUGUAAGGUCUGUGAUAGUUGCGUUCGUAGUCUAAUACAAUUAUUUUCUCUUGUAGAGAAUACUAAUUGUGCUGGCUUGGGGGCAGGGUAGAAGUUUUUGUCUAGUCUAUCCAUGCCCGAGUGUACAAGUGAGAGCAGGAUUACCUGUCAGCGGGUCGUAGAUAGUAGAAGCUGACAAGGAGCUCGACAUUAUUGAGAUGGCUGUUUAUGGAGAUGUGAUCCGACCAGGUAACCAGUGCCGUUGCAGAACCAUGGCUGAAAUGCUUGGUCAAUUUAAGCCAAAAGACCACAUGGC